GCCCGCGUAGCUCAAUGGUUAGAGCGUGUGACUUUUAUAUAUAAAGGUAUCCCAAGGCUGUGAGUUCGAGUCUCACCGUGGGCG